rnacentral:lncRNA from 1 species
AGUGAUGCCCGGAGGGCAGACAGACUCCGAGGUGUACAAGGGAGUGAUGCCCGGAGGGCAGACAGACUCCGAGGUGUUUACAAUGAAGUGAUGCCCGGAGGGCAGACAGACUCCAAGGAGGCUAAGUUACAGGAACUACUCCUAGGAAAAGCGAUAAAUGCAGGAAAGAAAGAUGCAGGAAAAUAAAUGUAAGGUACCGGACUUCUAAAAUCAUGAAGUUAUGGUGUACGUUGCUUUGGAAAGCCAUUUGGAUGGUUUCGUGAGGUUCGGUGAAGUUCUGGAGCAAUCGGGCGUUUCGGUGCGCAUACGCGCGAAAACGGAACCCGAAAGGCUAACUUGGGCCGUGAGCUAAAUCCGGCAUUAGCGAGGAUGGAAAGAUGAUGAAAAGAUGCUCGAAAACAUAAUUGGAGAGUCCCGGUUCGAUUUGAAGUGAAUUGGAGGUCAAACGAGCGAAAACGGACGAAAACGGUGAAAAAGCUGAAAUUUGGCUAAGUCCUUGAGGCUGAGUUCUGGACCUUCGGGGACCGGUCUCUCACCGCAAGGACCGGUCUCUCAGGGACCGGUCUCUCACCGCAAGGACCGGUUCCCGAACGCGAAAAACGCCCAGUUUGAGCUGAUGCGAGGUUAAAAGAGUUGGGGGGCUUAUUUGGGAUUGUUACAAUAUGAGAGGGGGUUAAGAGAGCUCUUUCUCUCUCUCUUUCUCUCAUUCCCUCACUCUCCCUCACGUUCCUCUCUCUCUCUCUCUAAACGAAAGAAAAGAAGAAGAGGAGAAGAAGAAGAGAAAGAAGAAGAAGAAGAAUAAGAAGGAGAAGAAGAUCAAGGAGGAGGUUUUCAUCACCUCCAUCUUCUUCCUCACCUUGGAGCAAGCUUUGGAGAGGUAAGCCCUUAGCCCUCUCAUGGUAAAUCCCUAGAUGUAGGGUUUUGAUCUCUAGAAAUGGUUUAGAUGGAAUCCUAGCAAGCUUAAUUGAUGAUUAGCACUUGAAUCCGAAGCUUUAAUAGCGGAUUUUGCCGUAAUUGCAAUUAGGGCUCCAAAAUAGGGUUUUGAUACAUAAGGGGUUUUGAUCUCAAUUGACCCUUCUCUAACCUAAUUGGUAGGUCUACGAACGCAACGGUGCGCUCGGUUCGGCGAUCCGACGAGUGUAAGCGGAGAUAUUGGGGAUCGAAGCCGUUAAGGUACAGAUUGCCGCAGCUCGCGGCGAAAGCCUCCAAAAAUCAUGAGAACGGAUCGGGAGCAUCGUGGUGUCGUGGAAUAAACUCCAGAAUAGACGGAUCGCGGAUUGGUGGCCGUUCGGGUGGUCGCGCAAGAGUUCGAGCCGAACCGGGUCACGGGUGCCGCGGGAGGCCGAUUGCAAGUGUCGACGAGCAAUCGGAACGCGAGUUAAGGUGGGUUGUGUUUACCGAAGCGACUAGGUCGCCCUUUAUGUCUAAGAUGAUUAAGAAUCCACGUUGAUGCAUAUGAAUGUAAAUGAGGUAAAUAAAGCAUGUGGUUGAUUCAUGUAAUUAAUGCAUGUUAAUGAUAUGAUGCAAAUACUAAGUAGGUGCAUAUAAAAUGAUAUAGAAAUCAUAGGAGACAUGAUCAGCAUCAUGAGAUUAUGUAUGCAUGUUGACAUCAUAGAAUGUAUGCCAGAUGAAAUGUGGAUAUCUAUAGUACUUGAUAUGACAAUAGGACAUCAAGUAGAUCGAGUGGCAUUAACCUAGUGUUAGUAAACAUAGGUCGGACAUAGAUGACAUCUAACCUAGUGUUAAAGAACAUAGGUUGAGUAUGAACCUAGAGUCGGGAUCUAGGUGUGUGGCAUCUAACCUAGUGUUAAAGAACAUAGGUUGAGAACUGAACCUAGAGUUAAGGUAAACCUAGGUUGUGAAAUUGAGGCAUUAGACCUAGAGUCAGUUGGACCUAGGGUGGAAAGUGCAUUGGACCUAGAUAGGUCAAUAGUAUAGGGUUGGAUAUGGACCCUUGACUUGUGAAGUCGAUUCCGGAAUCCCAGUACUUGUGAACUCAAUAGUUCUUGGACCGCGGGUGUAUGCGGCGAUGUUCCUCUCCCACCGGAAAGAACUUUGAGGAUUAUGACUAAGCAAGAACAAAGAGCGCUAGGGUGUACGGCAUGUUCCUCUCCCUAUCGGGGAUCUUGGCUAUGGGUGUACGCGGCUAUGUUUCCUCUCCCACUAACGGAUCCCUGACCACGGUGCACGGACCUUCGGGCGGACCGUUGGGCGAUGUGGUUCUUGGCUUGCAGGCUGAGGUGCAUGCGACAGGAUCCUUCACCUCGAGCCGGGCAGAGUGCGGAUUAUCCGCUGUUGAUUGACUCGAGGCCGAGUCGGGUGGCUAGCUGGAAUAAGGUAGAUAGAACCUUGAGGGCUAGUGGUAAAUGUGAUAACCUAAGGUAGUAGAAACCUUAGAGUUGGGUGACAUGAGCUAAGAUUAGCGAGAUUGAUUGUAGAAUCAAUAAUUCUACUAGUUGUUGCAUAUAUUCCUGUUGCAUAUAGCAUGACAUCAUUGCAGUUGUGAGGCAAAGCAAGGUAAAGUUAGUUGCAUGUUUAUGAUAUACAUAUCUAUCUGUUUAUUGGACUAACUUGUAUUUGCCUCCCUUGGACCUGUUGGUCGAGCUCCUCCCUUGGGUGGCCGUACCCACUGGGAACCAUGGAGUUGGUUCUCACCCCACGUUGUUUUGGGGUUUUACAGGUUCGCACGUGAGCGGCGCGGCGGCGCGAGGCAAGGGCGUAGCUCCAUAGAUAGCGCCCUACCCCCAGAGACCAGAGCUAGCAGUACCCCGUCGACGUAGCUUAGGGGUAUAGAAAAUGAAAGCAAGCAAAAUGUAUUAAACUUGUAAUAACUUAGUUGCUUUGGAAGUUGAAUGUAAUAUAAAGUGUGAUGUAACUAAAUGAAUCUAAUGUGAAUGUUGUAAUAACAUAGGAUGUGUUUAUGUUGAUUGAUACCUUCCUGAUGCAAUUCUGUUUGCUGAGUACUGUUCCUGGUUGGAACCCUUGUAUUGUACUUGUUGCGACGCCUAGAACGUACAGGGGAGACUCUGUCCGCGUACAGGGGAAACCCCGGUCCGUUCGGCGGUCUGUCGGCGUGCCCGAACCGGACCAAAUUGGGAGCGGUCUCGGGGCGUGACAAUAAAGGUGGUCUUUUGUGCGCAGGGGCGAAGAC